rnacentral:tRNA from 1 species
UUUAAUGAAGUGUAUAUUUGCAUUUUGUGUCUUGGUUACAAAGGAGGUUAGAAAUCCAUUAAAU